UACGAGGGGUGCAAGCGUUACUCGGAAUUACUGGGCGUAAAGCGUGCGUAGGUGGUGAGUUAAGUCUGUCGUGAAAGCCCCGGGCUCAACCUGGGAAUGGCGAUGGAUACUGGCUCGCUAGAGUGCGGUAGAGGAGAGUGGAAUUCCUGGUGUAGCGGUGAAAUGCGCAGAUAUCAGGAGGAACACCAAUGGCGAAGGCAGCUCGCUGGAACGGUACUGACGCUGGAGGCGCGAAAAGCCGUGGGGAGCAAACAGG
rnacentral:rRNA from 1 species